AUAUGGGAUUAUGAACUUAUACGAAAGAUAUAUUCCUGAUAUUAAAAUUAAAAAAGAUUUUUUUUGUUUCUUUUAAUAUACAAGAUUAUGAAUUUAUAAGUAAGACAUAUUCCUGAUAUUAAAUAAAAAGAUAGUUUAUUUUUUUAUGCUGGCAUUAGAACGGUUUUGUUUUUAAUCUGAUAAAAUAAAGACAUCCUUACUAAGAAGUACUUUUCUUAUACCUUAGACACACAAACUCUUAUUCUCUUUUUUUACUGAUAAAGAACAAUAAUUCCUUGUCCUUUUCACCCACAUCAUUCUCGACGAUCCCGAUCCGAGAGGAUGAUCGCCGUAACAUUGUACAAGUGCAACAAGACUCAUCAAAUUGAUUAGAUCACAUCAAAUCAAUUCCCACAUAAUUUGUUUUCAAAACAAUUAUAUUAAAAAAGUAUUAGUAGCACCUAGAUAUUUUCGGUGGUGGUGGCUAUAAAUAAGAGUGCAGAGAAGAGGCAAUAUCCAUUUUAAACACAAAGUAAUAUUUCCAAGAUGAAGGCCUUUCUUAUCAUAUGCAUUCUGUUGGCUACCGUUGUCUUCUCUCCCUUUUCCACUACCACUGCCCUAGAAUUAUCCCAUGAAGGUCCAUACAGGACACUUGACGCUUCCAUGCAACAAGGUGGCCCGAUGAAGCCGCCACGUGGCCCGAUUAUGCCGCCACGUGGCCCUGUCAAGCCACCACGUGGCCCGGUCAAGCCACCACCUGGCCCGAUGAAGCCACCACGUGGCCCGGUCAAGCCACCACCUGGAAAGAAGCCACCUCCCGGGUCACAGUAAUGCUUACAAGUGGAAUUGUGAAAUCCCUUGAGAAUGGAACACUACGGAUUAGAAGCCAGUAAAGUGUCGACCGACAGCUAGUAGUAUCUUUAUUAACAUGGUAAUAUGAUAGGAGAACAUUUUAUGUAAGAAAAAUAAACUAUGAAGUUCUCAUAACACAUGUCAACAACCAUGUAUUGGUAUGAUCAUGAGGUUUUAAUUUCUGUCGGGUUUUAUAUUGUAUUAUCGUACUGAUGUUGAUGCAAAAAUAAAUAAAGUGUUUAAUUAGCUAGACUAUGUUCUAGCUAUCUUCUCUGUUGCUCA